GGUUCUGUGGUGUAGCUGGUUAUCACACUUGUCUAACAUUCUUCCAAUGUUUGGACACAAGUGGUCCCCGGUUCGAGCCCGGGCAGAAUCA